rnacentral:rRNA from 1 species
CCUACGGGGGGCAGCAGUGGGGAAUAUUGCACAAUGGGCGCAAGCCUGAUGCAGCCAUGCCGCGUGUGUGAAGAAGGCCUUCGGGUUGUAAAGCACUUUCAGCGGGGAGGAAGGCGGUGAGGUUAAUAACCUCAUCGAUUGACGUUACCCGCAGAAGAAGCACCGGCUAACUCCGUGCCAGCAGCCGCGGUAAUACGGAGGGUGCAAGCGUUAAUCGGAAUUACUGGGCGUAAAGCGCACGCAGGCGGUCUGUCAGGUCGGAUGUGAAAUCCCCGGGCUCAACCUGGGAACUGCAUUCGAAACCGGCAGGCUAGAGUCUUGUAGAGGGGGGUAGAAUUCCAGGUGUAGCGGUGAAAUGCGUAGAGAUCUGGAGGAAUACCGGUGGCGAAGGCGGCCCCCUGGACAAAGACUGACGCUCAGGUGCGAAAGCGUGGGGAGCAAACAGGAUUAGAUACCCGAGUAGUC